UUAAGCGACUAAGCGUACACGGUGGAUGCCCUGGCAGUCAGAGGCGAUGAAGGACGUGCUAAUCUGCGAAAAGCGCCGGCGAGGUGAUAUGAACCCUUGACCCGGCGAUGUCCGAAUGGGGAAACCCAGUGCAAUCCGUUGCACUAUCGUUAACUGAAUACAUAGGUUAACGAGGCGAACCGGGGGAACUGAAACAUCUAAGUACCCCGAGGAAAAGAAAUCAACCGAGAUUCCCCCAGUAGCGGCGAGCGAACGGGGAGCAGCCCGGAGUCUGAAUCAGCUUGUGUGUUAGUGGAACGGUCUGGAAAGUCCGACGGUACAGGGUGAUAGUCCCGUACACGAAAGCACACUUGCUGUGAACUCGAAGAGUAGGGCGGGACACGUGGUAUCCUGUCUGAAUAUGGGGGGACCAUCCUCCAAGGCUAAAUACUCCUGACUGACCGAUAGUGAACCAGUACCGUGAGGGAAAGGCGAAAAGAACCCCGGCGAGGGGAGUGAAAAAGAACCUGAAACCGUGUACGUACAAGCAGUGGGAGCCUCUUUAUGGGGUGACUGCGUACCUUUUGUAUAAUGGGUCAGCGACUUAUAUUCUGUAGCAAGGUUAACCGUAUAGGGGAGCCGAAGGGAAACCGAGUCUUAACUGGGCGUUAAGUUGCAGGGUAUAGACCCGAAACCCGGUGAUCUAGCCAUGGGCAGGUUGAAGGUUGGGUAACACUAACUGGAGGACCGAACCGACUAAUGUUGAAAAAUUAGCGGAUGACCUGUGGCUGGGGGUGAAAGGCCAAUCAAACCGGGAGAUAGCUGGUUCUCCCCGAAAGCUAUUUAGGUAGCGCCUCGUGAACUCAUCUUCGGGGGUAGAGCACUGUUUCGGCUAGGGGGCCAUCCCGGCUUACCAACCCGAUGCAAACUACGAAUACCGAAGAAUGUUAUCACGGGAGACACACGGCGGGUGCUAACGUCCGUCGUGAAGAGGGAAACAACCCAGACCGCCAGCUAAGGUCCCAAAGUCAUGGUUAAGUGGGAAACGAUGUGGGAAGGCACAGACAGCCAGGAUGUUGGCUUAGAAGCAGCCAUCAUUUAAAGAAAGCGUAAUAGCUCACUGGUCGAGUCGGCCUGCGCGGAAGAUGUAACGGGGCUAAACCAUGCACCGAAGCUGCGGCAGCGACACUAUGUGUUGUUGGGUAGGGGAGCGUUCUGUAAGCCGUUGAAGGUGUGCUGUGAGGCAUGCUGGAGGUAUCAGAAGUGCGAAUGCUGACAUAAGUAACGAUAAAGCGGGUGAAAAGCCCGCUCGCCGGAAGACCAAGGGUUCCUGUCCAACGUUAAUCGGGGCAGGGUGAGUCGACCCCUAAGGCGAGGCCGAAAGGCGUAGUCGAUGGGAAACAGGUUAAUAUUCCUGUACUUGGUGUUACUGCGAAGGGGGGACGGAGAAGGCUAUGUCAGCCGGGCGACGGUUGUCCCGGUUUAAGCAUGUAGGCGGAGGUUCCAGGUAAAUCCGGUACCUUUUAACGCUGAGGUGUGAUGACGAGGCACUACGGUGCUGAAGUGAUAAAUGCCCUGCUUCCAGGAAAAGCCUCUAAGCAUCAGGUAACACGAAAUCGUACCCCAAACCGACACAGGUGGUCAGGUAGAGAAUACCAAGGCGCUUGAGAGAACUCGGGUGAAGGAACUAGGCAAAAUGGUGCCGUAACUUCGGGAGAAGGCACGCUGAUGUGUAGGUGAAGCCCCUGCGGGCGGAGCUGAAAUCAGUCGAAGAUACCAGCUGGCUGCAACUGUUUAUUAAAAACACAGCACUGUGCAAACACGAAAGUGGACGUAUACGGUGUGACGCCUGCCCGGUGCCGGAAGGUUAAUUGAUGGGGUUAGCUGUAAGGCGAAGCUCUUGAUCGAAGCCCCGGUAAACGGCGGCCGUAACUAUAACGGUCCUAAGGUAGCGAAAUUCCUUGUCGGGU
rnacentral:rRNA from 1 species